UACGUAGGGUGCGAGCGUUGUCCGGAAUUAUUGGGCGUAAAGAGCUCGUAGGCGGUUUGUCGCGUCGGCCGUGAAAACUUGGGGCUUAACUCCAAGCUUGCGGUCGAUACGGGCAGACUUGAGUUCGGCAGGGGAGACUGGAAUUCCUGGUGUAGCGGUGAAAUGCGCAGAUAUCAGGAAGAACACCAACGGCGAAGGCAGCUCGCUAGGACGGUACUGACGCUGAGACGCGAAAGCGUGGGGAGCGAACAGG
rnacentral:rRNA from 1 species